rnacentral:lncRNA from 1 species
UUUUUAGUUAUACUGUUGUAUUUAUCCUUUAGACUUGACUUACUAACUAUGAACGUAUAACAAGAAGUGUUAAACAACUUCUACAAUUGAUUCAGUUAGGUAAUAAUACAAUAAAGUUUUCUUAUGAAGAUAAGAAAGGAGAAUACAUCAAGUAAAAUGGAAAGAAGUAAGAUUUUUUUUGGGGAAAAUGUCUAUGUGUACAUGUAUAGAAUUUGGUAUGAAAUCCUCACCGAUUCUACCCUGCUUUUCAAUAGAGGUGUGGGCCGAGAAAGAUGCAAUCAUUGAAGUCAAAGUAUAUAACCGUAACAUUUUUUGUUACUGAUGCAGAUAUGAAAUAAUACAGUGAUAAAAGCUGUUUAUGCAGAUAAAAUGGAGAAAACACCAUGAAAAAUGGAGAGAAAUAAUAUUUUCUUUUGGGAAGAUGUGUACUUGCAUAGAAUUUCAUAAGAAAAUCUCACAAUUGUACCCUACAAGCACAGAAUAUCUAGCUACGCAAGCGUAGCUAGAUAUUCUGUGCUACAAGUGUGGGCUAAGAAAAAGUAAAGCUGGAGUAACAAGAUCGGAAUCCUGUUGAAAAAACGGAUCCGCCAAAUGGUUUCUGCUUAUAAUUGUUGCCUUCAAAUAAUUUAUGCAAAUAUCUCUUCAGAAAAUUAUACUUCCGAACAUUCAGAUGCAUGGAAGCUAUGCUGUACAUCCCAAAUCUGCUUUUUUUGAUGAUAUAAAGAUCAUUUUAGUGGUUGUUCCAUGCUGGUAGAAAUGUAUUGUUAUGAGGAGAUGCAGUGAAUAAGGUUUUCUAUUGAUGUCCUCACUCUCAUUUUUUAUAAGAUAUAAAGACAAUAGUAGUAUGCAGUUUAAAAAUAAUUUUGGAACCAUACAAGACUUGGCUUAUUAACAAAGAAUAUAUAGGAAAAAGCGAAAAAUGACUUCUACAAAUGAUGCAGAUAUGAAAUAAUACAGUGAUAAGAGUUGUUUAUGAAGAUAAAAUGGAGAAAACACUAAGAAAAAUGGAGAGAAAUAUGAUUUUCUUUUGGGAAGAUGUGUACUUGCAUAGAAUUUCAUAAGAAAAUCUCACAAUUUUACCCUGCAAGUGUGGGCCGAGAAAAAGUAAAGCUGGAGUAACUAGAUCGGAAUCCUGUUGAAAAAACGGAUCCGCCAAAUGGUUGCUGCUUAUAAUUGUUGCCUUCAAAUCAUUUCUGCAAAUACCUCUUCAGAAAAUUAUACUUCCGAACAUUCAGAUCCAUGGAAGCUAUGCUGUACAUCCCAAAUCUGCUUUUUUUGAUGAUAUAAAGAUAAUUUUAGUGGUUGUUCCAUGCUGAUAGAAAUGUAUUGUUAUGAGGAGAUGCAGUGAAUAAGAACCAGGACUUUCCAGAAGGGUAGCCAGAAGAUGUAUUUACCUCAACAUAGACAUCAGCAUGUCCAUCAGCCACCUUGGAU